rnacentral:lncRNA from 1 species
AAGUGCUCAUCCUGGACGAAUCAGAAAUGUACAAUUUUAAUUAAGUGUUUAUUACUUUAGAUACCACAACCAAGAUCUUAUUUUGGAAAAAAAAUUUGAAACUCUGUUUUCCCUAAAUUUAUUUUUUGUUGCUAUUUCCAAACCUGAUGUUGAGACCCUCUUUAAAUCGAGUUUUGGAAAAUGGGAAUCGACUUUAAGAAAAACGAAAACGGGAGUCGCC